rnacentral:rRNA from 1 species
GACGUAGGGCGCGAGCGUUUGUCCGGAUUUAUUGGGCGUAAAGAGCUCGUAGGCGGUUUGUCACGUCGGAUGUGAAACCCUGAGGCUCAACCUCAGGCCUGCAUUCGAUACGGGCAGACUAGAAUUCGGCAGGGGAGACUGGAAUUCCUGGUGUAGCGGUGAAAUGCGCAGAUAUCAGGAGGAACACCGGUGGCGAAGGCAGCUGCCUAGA